GACCUGGCUCAGGAUGAACGCUAGCUACAGGCUUAACACAUGCAAGUCGAGGGGCAUCAGGAAGAAAGCUUGCUUUCUUUGCUGGCGACCGGCGCACGGGUGAGUAACACGUAUCCAACCUGCCCUUUACUCGGGGAUAGCCUUUCGAAAGAAAGAUUAAUACCCGAUAGCAUAAUGAUUCCGCAUGGUUUCAUUAUUAAAGGAUUCCGGUAAAGGAUGGGGAUGCGUUCCAUUAGGUUGUUGGUGAGGUAACGG
rnacentral:rRNA from 1 species